CAGUGCCACGGCCGUCUGAGCUAAGGUCAUUAUAAAAAAUAAAAGGCGCAGACUUCUGCGCCUUUUUU
rnacentral:sRNA from 1 species